rnacentral:rRNA from 1 species
AAUUUUGGACAAUGGGAGCAAGCCUGAUCCAGCCAUUCCGCGUGAGUGAAGAAGGCCUUCGGGUUGUAAAGCUCUUUCGGACGGAAAGAAAUCGCUCCGGCCAAUACCCUGCGCGUAUGACGGUACCGGUAUACGAUGCCUCGUCAAAUCACGUGCCUGCAGCCGCGGUAAUACGUAGGGCGCGAGAGUUAAUCGGAAUUUCUGGGCGUAAAGCGUGCGCAGGAGGUUGAUUAAGACAGGCGUGAAAUACGCGGGCUUAACCUGGGAACUGCGCUUGUGACUGGUCAGCUAGAGUACGGCAGAGGGGGAUGGAAAUCCACGUGUAGCAGUGAAAUGCGUAGAGAUGUGGAGGAACACCGAUGGCGAAGGCAGCCCCCUGGGCCGAUACUGACGCUCAUGCACGAAAGCGUGGGUAGCAAACAGG